rnacentral:rRNA from 1 species
UACAGAGGGUGCAAGCGUUAAUCGGAAUUACUGGGCGUAAAGCGCACGUAGGCGGCUUUGCAAGUCAGAGGUGAAAGCCCGGGGCUCAACCCCGGAAUUGCCUUUGAGACUGCAUCGCUAGAAUUGUGGAGAGGUAAGUGGAAUUCCGAGUGUAGAGGUGAAAUUCGUAGAUAUUCGGAAGAACACCAGUGGCGAAGGCGACUUACUGGACACAUAUUGACGCUGAGGUGCGAAAGCGUGGGGAGCAAACAGG